UACUCGAGUGGCGAACGGGUGAGUAACACGUGGGUGAUCUGCCCUGCACUUCGGGAUAAGCUUGGGAAACUGGGUCUAAUACCGGAUAGGAACCAUCUUUAGUGUGGUGGUUGGAAAGUUUUUUCGGUGUAGGAUGAGCUCGCGGCCUAUCAGCUUGUUGGUGGGGCAAUGGCCUACCAAGGCGGCGACGGGUAGCCGGCCUGAGAGGGUGUACGGCCACAUUGGGACUGAGAUACGGCCCAG
rnacentral:rRNA from 1 species